rnacentral:misc_RNA from 1 species
AAUGUCGUAACAAGGUCUCCGUUGGUGAACCAGCGGAAGGGAUCAUUACUGAGUCGUAAAAUCACUCCCGAAAUCCCUAGUGUGAAUUUUGACCUAAUGUUGGCCUCGGCCAGGACCUACCCGGUAGCUACCCUGUACCUACCCUGUAGCCUGCCGGUGGACAAUCAACUCUUGUUAUUUUCAUGGAAUCUGAGCGUCUUAUUAAAUAAGGUCAAAAU